UUAGCCGCAGCUGAGCUAUGUUGGCCUGCUCAUUGGCUUCAGGUGUGAUGCCGAUGGUGAAGAAGCGGACGCCCUGGUUCUUGGCAUCAAGCACGGCUGAAUAUAUGUCUGGGUUCCUGGGGUGCGAGAUGCCGUCGAAGAGCAGCACGGCCACCUUGAUGCUGCUGGGACUCGACUCCUCCAGUCAUGUUGAGAAGAAGUCUCCGCCUGCAGGAAGCAGGUUAUUAUACAGAGCAGGGAACUCCUACUGUUUGCUACAAGGAGGUCAUCUGCAGGGUUGUUCAGAGAAGGAAAGGUUGUGGUCACCGUCGUGUAGACUCAAUAGAUCACCACGAGUCAAUCGACGACCCACAACACAUUCAGAAAGGGAUGUGGGCUAGAGCUAGGACUAUUGGACUAAAAAAGAUCAUCAAAUGUUUCUUCCUCCUGCUCUUUAUCGCUGCUAGAUCGCUACACUACGCACACGUGUGUAAUCAAAUAAAUGAAGUCCAGCAGGAGUUGCAGAUAUUCAAACCGCAGAUGAACAUUUUCGCUCCAGACACAAUACCCAACUUUGCCUCAGUCUCAAGGAGCCAGGGUUUUACACCAUUUAUCGUCGGACACAUAUUGGCCCCAAAAGCACAUUAGCAUCGUUUGGGAUAAAAUACUCUACUGGUGGUAUUCACCCAAAGCCCAGACAACAGUGAUCCAGGGACAUUCACCAUUGCAGCAAGGAAACUGCUGGACCUUUUCAGGAGAACAAGGACAUUUAUUCAUCUCCCUUUCCCACCCCGUCUCCAUCACUAAAGUGACACUCGG